ACAAACUUGGUCAUUUAGAGGAAGUAAAAGUCGUAACAAGGUUUCCGUAGGUGAACCUGCGGAAGGAUCAUCACUGAUUCGAGGGGUAUGCGUGUGUUGUGUGUGCGCGUCUGUGCACGCACCGCCGCUCCCCAACCCAAUCCUGUGUGCACCGUUUCACGGUCAAGAAGAGAGAAGACCACACGACACGCGCACGCGCGCGUGGGGCUGCAUUGUGCGUGUGUGUUGUGUUGGCGACGGCAACAAUGCCGCCGCCAACCGGCAUCAUGGCACUGCACCAUGCACGUGUGCGCGCAACCACCUUGCGUUGUCCAUACGUGCGUGUGGUGUGUGGGGUGUUCUCUCUGUAUGCAACAACACUAUCUUGUGCAACCUGUGUCUAACGUAUAUGCGUGUGUGCGCGUUAUACGCGCGCGCCACCACCUUAACACAUACAACUUUCAACAAUGGAUCUCUUGGCUCUCGCAUCGAUGAAGAACGCAGC
rnacentral:misc_RNA from 1 species